rnacentral:rRNA from 1 species
AUGCACGUCUCCGUACGAGCUAAAAGUAAAGUGAAACCGCGAACAGCUCAUUAAAUCAGUCGUUAUUUACGAGACGGAAGGGCAACCGUAGAUGGAUAACUGCGGAAAUUCUGGAGCUAAUACAUGCCAUUGACGACGCGACGUUCGAAAGUUCGGAGCGCAGCCUUUAUUAGACCGAAACGGUGGGUCCUGGACCUCGCGUCUGGCCCUCCUCUGGUGACUCCGGGUAACCGACAGUUGAUCGCAAGGCCUUCGAGCCCGCGACGCAUCUUUCAAGGGUCUGCCUCAUCAACUAGAUGGUUUGCAAACAGCCGACCAUGGUGCCGACGGGUGACGGGGAAUUAGGGUUCGAUUCCGGAGAGGGAGCCUUAGAAAUCGCUACCACA